UUUACGGGAGGCAGCAGUAGGGAAUCUUAGGCAAUGGGGGAAACCCUGAUCUAGCCAUGCCGCGUGUGUGAUGAAGGCCUUAGGGUCGUAAAGCACUUUCGCCAGAGAUGAUAAUGACAGUAUCUGGUAAAGAAACCCCGGCUAACUCCGUGCCAGCAGCCGCGGUAAU
rnacentral:rRNA from 1 species